AAACUAACAAGGAUUCCCCUAGUAGCGGCGAGCGAAGCGGGAAGAGCUCAAAUUUAUAAUCUGGCACCUUCGGUGUCCGAGUUGUAAUCUCUAGAAGUGUUUUCCGCGUUGGACCGCACACAAGUCUGUUGGAAUACAGCGGCAUAGUGGUGAAACCCCCGUAUAUGGUGCGGACGCCCAGCGCUUUGUGAUACACUUUCAAUGAGUCGAGUUGUUUGGGAAUGCAGCUCAAAUUGGGUGGUAAAUUCCAUCUAAAGCUAAAUAUUGGCGAGAGACCGAUAGCGAACAAGUACCGUGAGGGAAAGAUGAAAAGCACUUUGGAAAGAGAGUUAACAGUACGUGAAAUUGUUGGAAGGGAAACGCUUGAAGUCAGACUUGCUUGCCGGAGCUUGCUUCGGUUUGCAGGCCAGCAUCAGUUUUCCGGGGUGGAUAAUGACGGUUUGAAGGUAGCAGUCUCGGCUGUGUUAUAGCUUUGCCGUUGGAUACAUCCCUGGGGGACUGAGGAACGCAGCGUGCUUUUUGCGAAAGACUCGUCUUUUUCACGCUUAGGAUGCUGGUGGAAUGGCUUUAAACGAC
rnacentral:rRNA from 1 species